GCAUGCCAGAAGAGGGCACCAGAUCUCAUUACAGAUGGUUGUGAGCCAGCAUGUGGUUGCUGGGAAUUGAACUCAGGACCUCUGGACCUCUAGAAGAGCAGUUGGUGCUCUUAACCACUGAGCCAUCUCUCCAGCCCUUGUUUUUGUUUUUGUUUUGGUUUUGAGGCAGGGUCUUACUAUGUAGCUCUGGCUGUCUUGGAACUUACCAUGUAGACCAAGCUGGCCUCCUUGAACUCACAGAGUUCUGCCUGCUUCUGCCUCCCAAGUACAGGGGUUAAAGGUGUGUGUCACCACUCCAGGCCUGUGCUGGUUGGGUUUUGUCAACUCUGAUACAAGCUUAGACAUAUAUGGGAAGAGUGAAUCUUUACCGCCAUAAGAUUGGCCUGUAGGCAAAUUUGUGAGUCAUUUUCUCAAUAAAUGAUUAAUGUGGUAGGGUCCAGAUCACUGGGGGUAGUGCCAUCCCUGGGAAGGUAGUUCUGAGCCUCUGAAAGCGGGCUGAGCAAGCCAGUAGGCAGCACUCCUCAAUGGCCACUGCAUCAGCUCCUUCGCCAGCUUCCUGCCCUGACUUUUCCUCAGUGAAGGACUGUGACCUAAGUAUUUAAGAUGAAAUAACCCCCGCCCCCGUCCCCACCACCACCAGUUGCUUUUGGUCAUGGUGUUUUGUCACAGCAAUAGAAACCUUUGCUAAGCCAAGGUCCAUUAUCACCCAAAGCAUUCACCAUUACCCCAUCUGUUUGGAGAUACUGAAUAAGAUUCGUCCCACACAGAAACAGUUUGAGAAGAGCAACCGUGUUGCAGUCAUCAGUGAGCUCCUCAGCUCAGCUGGUGUGGGUGUGGGAAGGGGGCUGAGAAGACACAUAUGCCAGGAUAGUCCUGAUGCUCCCUUGUGUGGGGACUAAAGGCUGCUCAGCUUCCUGCUCAGUGAGUCUUCCCUGAUGCUGGAUUUCUGUCCCCAGUAACUAUCUAUCCUCAAAGCACGCCAGGCUUCUUUUCUUAGAGAGUGAAUGAUCACCUCACCCUGCACACCCAAGAACUAAAGGAGCCACGUGGGAUAUACACUAUGAAGAAAGCCACAUGUGGGAUUCAGACUUGGAAUGGCUAUGGCCUGACUCUUUCCUCCGAUCUUCCUGUUGGCACCUAAUCCUCGAUGUAACGAUAUUAAAGACACACAGAGAAGCUCUUUCCAAAGCCUCAUGCGUGUGCUUAGCUUCCCAGGAGGGCAGGAGGGGUGAAUUCACCCCUCCCACCACUUUCCCCCUUCUCCGUGUGAGGUCACCAUAAAUGAGGAAUGACUUGUCACCAGGCAUGGGAUCUGCCAGCGCCUUGGUCUUCCCAGACUCCAGAAGAUCAGGAAAUGAAUUUCUAUGAUUUGCAAAUUGCCUGGUCUAAGGUAUUUUGCCGCUGCAGCAGGAGUGGGCUCAGAACCUGUUUGCACCAUGUCCGCCCUUGAGCAACGUCCUUUUGCUAGGACUUGGCUUACAAUUCCAGCCUCUGCUGCACAUGUUACUGGUCUUGUGUGGGUGUGCAUGCAGCAGCGAGACAUUUGUCGGAUGCUGGUGCCAAGGCUGUGCUGACUUCAGGAACAAAACUGGAAACCUCCCGUCUUCUUUCAGAUGCCGGAGCGCCGCUGAAGCAGAGACUCCCGGCAAUUCCCGCUUGGGCUGGCCUCGGUGAAGGUGUGCGGAAGGAAGGAACGAGAACUCCCUCAGCGCUUUGCUUCGCCACGGACCGUUCUGUUUCCAGAUGUUUGCCACGGGAAACAGAUUGUGUCUCCGCAGUGCCGCCUGACUUGGAAGGUCAACUCCACAGACAUCAAAAGCUCACUUGUCAGAAUGUCGCAGACUUUUCCAGUCCCUGUCCCCACCGUGGCCCCGAAGCUGUUGCCUUCAGGUAUACACCACAGAAGGUAGAAAUGCUUUGAGUUGCCAAUCCAGAGGCAGUACUGUCACUGUGCAUAUGAAGGGCUGCAGUGCGCAAGCGCAGGGUUCAUCAUUGGCUUUAAAAAUAACGUUCCCAGCUCAUCUUAAAAGAGAAGAGAAGGCUACAGGCAGCAGAGAGAUUAGGCCCUGAAUCAAGUUUUCCUUAUCUUUGCAGAAGAAGAGGCUUCGUUUGAAAGGUUUUUUAUCACCAGUAGGUUGACAGGCAACUACGGUCACGAGCGUCGUUUCGAGGGGACUGGUGGUCUUGCCGUUUCGUGAUUAGACCUACAAAUUCAAUGUCAGCAAGCUGUCCACAGAUGCCUUCCCGGGAUCUUCAUGAAGGAUGACCUGUCCCUCCUAGAAUCUACCUUCGUGAGGCUCAGAGGUUCCGACAGAGCAGAAGCAGGGCUUCGGAUGAGCCCCCUGCCUCUGCCAGAGCACACCUUAGCAGGGCACUCUUUUCAGGAACACAGGACUGUGCAGCUAAUGUGUUUAUGUUUUCAAGCUGGACAAGUGAAGAAAUGGGGUAACAGAAUCAUGUGCAAUAAAACAAUAAAUUCCCCCCUCGGAAGCUGACAGUAA